UACAGAGGUCCCGAGCGUUGUUCGGAUUUAUUGGGCGUAAAGGGUGCGUAGGCGGCGAGGUAAGUCAGAUGUGAAAUCCCGGAGCUUAACUCCGGAACUGCAUUUGAUACUGCUUUGCUUGAGGACUGGAGAGGAGAUCGGAAUUCACGGUGUAGCAGUGAAAUGCGUAGAUAUCGUGAGGAAGGCCAGUGGCGAAGGCGGAUCUCUGGACAGUUCCUGACGCUGAGGCACGAAGGCCAGGGGAGCAAACGGG
rnacentral:rRNA from 1 species